GUCAGCUUUCUAUUCAUCAUGAGAGUAGACUCUCAAGACAAUUUACUAGCAGUGGAGUUAGACUCUGGACUUAUUCUGCCUCCUCACAUGUAAUAGAGAAGUGGAUUCAUCUAAUCUAAAAGAACUGGCCCAUGUAUGCGAUAGGUGAACCCAUGAAGGUCUAAUCCCUGGCUACAAGGGGAGGCUGUGACUUCCACCUCUGCUGUGAGUUAGAGGUGGCAUAUGGCACCAUUGUCAGGAAGAUGCUGUUGUUGGUCUUUUCUACUUGAGGAGGAACAAUGCCAUCAUAAUGUUGGUGUCAGGGUACCAUGAGUCUGUGGCUGAUCGGUCUAAUAUGAGUUUGGAAGACUCUACCACAGAUUGGGCAUGAAUAGUUUGGAAUUGGAUGUCUCUAGAUUUGUGCAUCUCACAUUUCCUCUGCUGUGAUUCUGCUUUGCUCAUAGACUACAGUGCCAGUAGCCUAGCAGAGGAAGGGCAGGUGUGGAUAUUUUGA
rnacentral:lncRNA from 1 species